rnacentral:rRNA from 1 species
UACGAAGGGGACUAGCGUUGUUCGGAAUUACUGGGCGUAAAGCGCACGUAGGCGGAUUUGUUAGUCAGGGGUGAAAUCCCGGGGCUCAACCUCGGAACUGCCUUUGAUACUGCAAGUCUCGAGUCCGAUAGAGGUGGGUGGAAUUCCUAGUGUAGAGGUGAAAUUCGUAGAUAUUAGGAAGAACACCAGUGGCGAAGGCGGCUCACUGGUCCGGUACUGACGCUGAGGUGCGAAAGCGUGGGGAGCAAACAGG